rnacentral:lncRNA from 1 species
UAGUGCUGGCUCAAGCAUAUGCAUCACAAUUUGACCCGAAAAAUCAAUGAAGAGCUAUAUCACUUUCCCAGACUCAGAAACCACCACAUUCUGUGGAAGACGAGGGUGUGCCCAUAUAUUACGAUUUGGGAAAUUAAAUUUGCAUAGAUUUGAUCAUGUUAUAAAACGUGAGACGGAAACAAGAUUGGUCGUGUGCGCAACUCGCAGGAUGCAUGUGAAGUAAUGCCAUGCAUGUUGUUGAUACUUGAAAAAUUCGACAGAGUUGACCUCUGGAACGUGUUAUCUUUUCUCAGAGUAUCCGUGCGUUGGUUGCUGAAGUGGCCUCGCGCAUGCAUAUUGUCAAAAUUUAUGGAACCCAAACCCGUGUGCAGGUGUAUGGGCAUGGGAGAAGCAAAACAGAGCGUACGUACGACAAAUGCUCAAGUCUGGCACAGGAAAAAUAAUGUAGACACCAGAAAAAAGAAUCAUGACAGGCAUGAAAUUGCAUGAUUUGCAUGUAGAGCGUAUAAAAAUGAAUCUAUUUAUACAUAUCUUCUUUUCUACGUAUUUGUCCAUGAGUGGAAUUUGGCGGUUGGAUUGCAGGGUGUAUGAUGUCAGUGAGGAGUCGGAGUAGCGAGCACGAUGCAUUUGGUUGAUGCUUUGACCACGAGCCUGGACGUUUGUUGCGCGAAGCUACCCACCGUGUGUUGGGGGGGUUGACUAGGUUUUCACUGCACGACUUGGGCCCUCUGGUGCAAAGCAAAAAAGACAAAAACAAAUUACACGGUCAGUGUCUAGGUGAGAAAGACAUCAUUGACUGAUUGACAAGGUAAAACCAAGUUGCAGUAAUAAGGAUGGUAGUGGCAGAUGUAUAAAAGAAUUAGUAAAAGCAGGUAUCAGGUGUGGAUGAUUAAGUUAUACUGUAAUUAAGCAAGCAGGCAUCCAUCGGUAUGAACGGGACUGAUGAUUGCAUCGCAUGUAUGGUAUGAAUGUAUGCAUCAUGCAUGAGCACCGAGUAGUCGUGCGCCCCUCUCCUUGGCGCCUCCCCAGUCUCGACGCACCUCUUCGAUUCCACUCCAGUUGGCUGAUUGGAUGGAACCAUUCAAAUACAGCCAUGGGCGUGGACGCGCUUCCUCAUUACUACCUUUCUUCCAUUCCAUCGCCAUUGCCGCACCACAACAGAUGAGGGGGGAAAGGUAACCUUCCUUUGCUCUUGCUCUACAUUCCCAAUUCGCCUUCCUGAUUGCAUGCACCCUCUAUGUAAUCUACUGAUUCAUCGUUUUCCUUUCCUUACAAAGCAAAAUACUCUUGCCAUUUAUUCUCCCCCUUUUCCUGGAGGAAAAAAAAAAGAGAAACAACCUGCAUGCAUCCAUUUGAAUUUCGUUUUUGCGUCACCCAGGCUGCGUUUAUUGGUUGUUAUGAUCUGCCGAUUACGAUUUGAUUUCCUGUAUGCUGUGCUUUCCAAAUAUGUCUUGGCAAAAAUAAACCUACAGCGAGACUAAUAUCAAUGUUUUCCUUUGUUUCGUCAUAUUAUUCGUCCUGCAGAUCAGCCACAAGAUAACAGCAUAGCAACAACAUCACGAGGAAAAAGAAGAGUCAAAGUAAAGAGCACGUACGGAGGAGGCCAUGGGGUCCAAGGGAAUCCUCAAGAACAGCGGCUCCAGCCGCGUGCCGCCGCACGGCCCCAGCAAGCCACCGACAGCGCCAACAUCGGCGCCGCAGGUGGUCUUCG